UAAAGCGUGCGCAGGCGGUUUUGUAAGUCUGAUGUGAAAUCCCCGGGCUCAACCUGGGAAUUGCAUUGGAGACUGCAAGGCUAGAAUCUGGCAGAGGGGGUAGAAUUCCACGUGUAGCAGUGAAAUGCGUAGAUAUGUGGAGGAACACCGAUGGCGAAGGCAGCCCCCUGGGUCAAGAUUGACGCUCAUGCACGAAAGCGUGGGGAGCAAACAGGAUUAGAUACCCCAGU
rnacentral:rRNA from 1 species